CCUACGGGAGGCAGCAGUGAGGGAUAUUGGUCAAUGGGCGCGAGCCUGAACCAGCGAAGUAGCGUGGAGGAUGAAGGGUCUAUGGGUUGUAAACUUCUUUUAUAGGGGAAUAAAGGGAGGAACGUGUUCCUUUUUGUAUGUACCAUAUGAAUAAGCAUCGGCUAACUCCGUGUCAGCAGCCGCGGUAAUACGGAGGAUGCGAGCGUUAUCCGGAUUUAUUGGGUUUAAAGGGUGCGUAGGUGGUUAAUUAAGUCAGCGGUGAAAGUUUGUGGCUCAACCAUAAAACUGCCGUUGAAACUGGUUGACUUGAGUAUAUUUGAGGCAGGCGGAAUGCGUGGUGUAGCGGUGAAAUGCAUAGAUAUCACGCAGAACUCCGAUUGCGAAGGCAGCUUACUAAACUAUAACUGACACUGAAGCCCGAAAGCGUGGGGAUCAAACAGGAUUAGAUACCCUAGUAGUC
rnacentral:rRNA from 1 species